UUUAUGUCUUAGCCCUUUUUAUGACAAAUUAUUUAUUGUUUAGUCACUACUUUAGAGCCUGUUUCAUUUUUUCUUAAUUUUAUUAAAGGAUGAUAUUGAUGAUGAAAUGUCUUACAAUGAUCAUUUAGAGGUUUAUUUUGAACAACUUGCAAUUCCAGGAAUGAUGGAAUAAAACAUAUGAAGUAGAAGGACUGGAACCUCCAGAAAAAAUACUUUAAGUUACCUGCAAGUGAUCCUAGUCAGGCAAAUGAAAACAGUAGCCUAAAGUGUCAGUUUCAACCAGAAAAUAACAGCUCUGAUUUCUCAUGGCUCACACUCUUCUGAAAAGAUUCAGGAAGAGGCUCAGGAAGGCCAUGUUGUUUGUCUACCUGGGACUACACCUACUGAAAGAAGUUCUCAAGUUCUGAUUGAGUUCUAAAAGAUUUUGAAGAUUGGAAUUCUUCAUAGGUAAGUAAAAAUUUUGGAUGACCCAUUUCUAGUCCAUCUUCUAAAGAAAUAUUUA
rnacentral:lncRNA from 1 species